CUGUGAACAGAGCUCCCAGAUCCAACUGGAACUGAGAUGUGAAUGGGAAGCAAAGAUAGUUCCUUGCAUCAACAUUGGCUUCUCAGUGUCUCUCUGAAUUGAGAAUGGACAGCUUGAACUCUGGAUACAAUGAAAUGACAUUUGGUCUCUCUACUUGUCAUCUAUCAACUGCACUGCAGUGAUGGAGAUGACAUUGAGAUCUUCUCAGCCUUGGGAUCACAUUGAAAGAGGUGCAUAUAAUCAACAAUGUACUUGAAUCAAACUGCAUCUGUGGGGAAGUAAACAAUCUAAAUAAAAAAGUAGAAUAAAAAUGUUACAGAGGAUGUUAAAAAAGAGAUAUUUUUCUAGGAUAACUGAGAAAUUUUAUUGAAAAUUCAAGUUCAGACAUAAUGAAAAUUUUGUAUACUUUUCUGGACAAAGACCACAAACAUACUGGGUACUAUCUUUUCUUCAGUUUCAUGAAGUUCACAGGAUGAGCCCAAGGAGAUACAUUUUAUUGAUGGUUUCCAGGGCACAUUUCAAUGUUCCCAUAGUGGAUGGAAGCUUGUAGUCCUGAAAACAGAAAAGAAAGUGUUCUGUCUUACAAAUCAGUGAAAAACUCUGCCCUGCCCCAAGAAACUGGAGGCUAUAUGGACAAGCAAGCAAAGGAUCAAGUUCUUCAAGUGAAUACUUCAGAAUUAGAAUGCAAAGUUCAUUUUAUACAGACAACUAUAACUAAAUAUCUUCCUCUUCAGGGUUUCCUGCUUAAAGCCAAGAAGACUUCUACUUUUUCAGGAAUUAUUCCUAGAAAACACACUGAAAUUUUAUUAAGCAUGAUUCCAAAUAUUUUAGACCACUGCAUGAUGCUUUCUUUCAGGAGAACUGUUUUCAACAAUUCUCAAGGUCUCCUGAGCAAUCUCUGGCUAAGUUUAUGUAAACCAGUAUAAUACAACUGGAUAUCACUAUUUCAUUGACAGUGAAUGACAGUGUUAAAUAUUAUGUGUUAAAAUCCCGCAUUUUUGUCAUUUGUGUCAUCUGUAUUUGCAACACAGUCUGAUCUAUCAGUCUGCAUGCAGGUAAGCAUUCCACUCAAUUAUUUGUAGGAAUAAACAUUAAUAUUAUACCA
rnacentral:lncRNA from 1 species